rnacentral:rRNA from 1 species
AUUGAACGCUGGCGGCGUGCCUCAUACAUGCAAGUCGAACGGAGUGGCGCACGGGUGAGUAAUGUCUAGCUAAUCUGACCUACACUAGAGGACAACAGUUGGACACGACUGAUAAUACUCUAUAGUGUAGGAUGAGGCUAUAUUGUAUCAGCUAGUUGGUGAGGUAAUGGCUCACCAAGGCUAUGACGCAUAACUGGUCUGAGAGGAUGAGCAGUCACACUGGAACUGAGACACGGUCCAGACUUCUACGGUAGGCAGCAGUAGGGAAGAUUGCUCAAUGGGGGAAACCCUGAAGCAGCAUAGCCGCGGGGAGGAGGACACGUUUCGGAGCGUAAACGCCUUUUGUUAGGGAAGCGGUACCUAACGAAUAAGCACCGGCUAACUCCGUGCCAGCCGCCGCGGUAAUAC